GGGCUCAACCUCGGAAUAGCAUUUGAAACUGGCAUACUAGAGUACUGUAGAGGGGGGUAGAAUUUCAGGUGUAGCGGUGAAAUGCGUUGAGAUCCGAAGGGAUACCGGCGGCGAAGGCCGCCCCCUCGUCAGAUACUGACACUCAGAUGCGAAAGCGUGGGGAGCAAACAGGAUUAGAUACCCUGGUAGUCCACGCCGUAAACGAUGUCUACUUGGAGGUUCUGGCCUCGAGCCGUGGCUUUCGGAGCUAACGCGUUAAGUAGACCGCCUGGGGAGUACGGUCGCAAGAUUAAUACUCAAAUGAAUUGACGGGCGCCCGCACAAGCGGCGGAGCAUGUGGUUUAAUUCGAUGCCACGCGAAGAACCUUACGUACUCUUCACAUCCAGAGAACUUUCCAGAGAUGGAUUGGAGCCUUCGGGAACUCUGAGACAGGUGCUGCAUGGCUGUCGUCAGCUCGUGUUGUGAAAUGCUGGGGUAAGUCCCGCAACGAGCGCAACCCUUAUCCUUGUUUGCCAGCACUUCGGGUGGGAACUCCAGGGAGACUGCCGGUGAUAAACCGGAGGAAGGUGGGGACGACGUCAAGUCAUCAUGGCCCUUACGAGUAGGGCUACACACGUGCUACAAUGGCGCAUACAGAGGGCGGCCAACUUUCGAGAGUGAGCGAAUCCCAAAAAGUGAGUCGUAGUCCGGAUCGGAGUCUGCAACUCGACUCCGUGAAGUCGGAAUCGUUAGUAAUCGUGGAUCAGAAUGCCACGGUGAAUACGUUCCCGGCCCUUGUACACACCGCCCGUCACACCAUGGGAGUGGGCUGCAAAAGAAGUAGGUAGUUUAACCUUCGGGAGGACGCUUAC
rnacentral:rRNA from 1 species